rnacentral:rRNA from 1 species
UCCGUAGGUGAACCUGCGGAAGGAUCAUUACCGAGUGUAGGGUUCCUAGCGAGCCCAACCUCCCACCCGUGUUUACUGUACCUUAGUUGCUUCGGCGGGCCCGCCAUUCAUGGCCGCCGGGGGCUCUCAGCCCCGGGCCCGCGCCCGCCGGAGACACCACGAACUCUGUCUGAUCUAGUGAAGUCUGAGUUGAUUGUAUCGCAAUCAGUUAAAACUUUCAACAAUGGAUCUCUUGGUUCCGGCAUCGAUGAAGAACGCAGCGAAAUGCGAUAACUAGUGUGAAUUGCAGAAUUCCGUGAAUCAUCGAGUCUUUGAACGCACAUUGCGCCCCCUGGUAUUCCGGGGGGCAUGCCUGUCCGAGCGUCAUUGCUGCCCAUCAAGCACGGCUUGUGUGUUGGGUCGUCGUCCCCUCUCCGGGGGGGACGGGCCCCAAAGGCAGCGGCGGCACCGCGUCCGAUCCUCGAGCGUAUGGGGCUUUGUCACCCGCUCUGUAGGCCCGGCCGGCGCUUGCCGAACGCAAAUCAAUCUUUUCCAGGUUGACCUCGGAUCAGGUAGGGAUACCCGCUGAACUUAAGCAUAUCAAUAAGCGGAGGA